rnacentral:rRNA from 1 species
UACGUAGGUGGCAAGCGUUGUCCGGAAUUAUUGGGCGUAAAGCGCGCGCAGGCGGUCCUUUAAGUCUGAUGUGAAAGCCCACGGCUCAACCGUGGAGGGUCAUUGGAAACUGGGGGACUUGAGUACAGAAGAGAAGAGUGGAAUUCCACGUGUAGCGGUGAAAUGCGUAGAGAUGUGGAGGAACACCAGUGGCGAAGGCGACUCUUUGGUCUGUAACUGACGCUGAGCGCGAAAGCGUGGGGACGAAACAGG